ensembl:lncRNA
UAUUCAGUUGUUUCUGCAGAACUGAAUGUGGAAAUUAAAGCUAUUUGAAUAAAGGAGAAGGGAAGUAAAGUGAAGGUGUGAGAAGGGUGUUGACUUACUUCUUCAUGUCAUUAAUGAACUUUAGUUUUUUUUUUUUUUUUUUUUUUUUUUNUUUUUAUUUUGUAUGAAACUUCUGUUGUACUGUCUCACUUCUUCUUUAGUGCUUAUUGGCUCCUGAUAAAUUACUGGUGUGUUUCCUCAUAUGUUUGCAUUAUCAUAAAUGUAACAUAAUAUUUUAAUUGUACUGUAAUCAUGUAUUUAAUUAAGUGAUUAACCAAUAUUUUAUUAAUAUUAUCAAUAUUUUAAAGUGAGUGUGUUUUCUGUAUUCAGUUGUUUCUGCAGAACUGAAUGUGGAAAUUGAAGCUAUUUGAAUAAAGGAGAAGGGAAGUAAAGUGAAGGUGUGAGAAGUGUGUUGACUUACUUCUUCAUGUCAUUAAUGAACUUUAGUUUUUUUUUGUUUUUUGUUUUUUUAUUCAAAGGCCUCAGGGGAAACAAAGGGGAACUCAUGAGGUGUGGAGCGCACAGGAAAACAUAAAUAUGUCAGCAGUUCUGUGUUUGGCUUUCUUCUGUACAGUUUGUUCUUUUUUUGUUUGUUUGUUUGUUUGUUUUUUUGGUUAAUAUAAAGGAGGAAGUCUGGCAUCUCAUCACAUUCAUGACAGAAGGCUCACCUGAAAACACAUCAAGAGCUUCAGAAGAACUGAAUCUACUAACAACAGAGAAGAUCACUGAAGAAGAGAGAAGAAUGAAGAUCAUCUGGACUUUCACUCUGCUGAUGAUUCUUGGUACCAUGACCUCAGUCAGUUUGCCUGGACAAUCAUUGCAUAAAGUUAACAUGACAUGCACAUAUGAUAGCAAUGACAAAACAAAAGAAAUGUAUUUUUGUGAAGUACUGUGGUCAGAGUGCACACACCAAGCCAGGACUAAUUCUAAAGAUGAAUGUGUUGAUUCUGGAAAUUUCUCUCUGAAUAAAAACAAAAGAACAGCAGUUUUCAAUUUGACCAUCAGAGAUCAAAGAAAACAGGAUUCUGUGAAGAAUGGAGGUGAUAAAUCAAUAAUAUAUUUCUGCACUGAAGCGGACCUGACCAUUAUAUCGGGUGAGUAACCCACUUGCAUUAACCCAUUUUUAAACAUGACCAUCAUCAAUGCUGUGAUUUGUGUUAAUUUGGGCAAAAUAAUUAUACAGUUAAACAUGUUUUCUCAGUCAAUUUUCCUAGUCAAGUGCAUUCAUUAUGCACAGUAAAACCAUGUGGUGUUGAUGGUUAUUUUUCAAUAAAAAAAAAAAAAAAAUCA